AUACGUAGGGGGCGAGCGUUGUCCGGAAUGAUUGGGCGUAAAGGGCGCGUAGGCGGCUUUGCAAGUCAGUAGUGGAAGUCCAUUUUUCAAGGAUGGAAGUGCUAUAGAAACUGCGGAGCUUGAGUGCAGGAGAGGUUAUCGGAAUUCCCGGUGUAGCGGUGAAAUGCGUAGAGAUCGGGAGGGACACCAGUGGCGAAGGCGGGUAACUGGACUGCAACUGACGCUGAGGCGCGAAAGUGUGGGGAGCAAACAGGAUUAGAUACCCUGGUAGUCCACACUGUAAACGAUGAAUGCUAGUUGUAGGAGGUAUCGACCCCUUCUGUGCCGCAGUAAACACAGUAAGCAUUCCGCCUGGGGAGUACGGCCGCAAGGUUGAAACUCAAAGGAAUUGACGGGG
rnacentral:rRNA from 1 species